rnacentral:rRNA from 1 species
CUCGUAGGCGGCCAACUAAGUCAGACGUGAAAUCCCUCGGCUUAACCGGGGAACUGCGUCUGAUACUGGAUGGCUCGAAUCCGGGAGAGGGAUGCGGAAUUCCAGGUGUAGCGGUGAAAUGCGUAGAUAUCUGGAGGAACACCGGUGGCGAAGGCGGCAUCCUGGACCGGCAUUGACGCUGAGGAGCGAAAGCCAGGGGAGCAAACG